rnacentral:rRNA from 1 species
AUUGAACGCUGCGGCAGGCUUAACACAUGCAAGCCGAGCGAGCGGCGGACGGGUGAGUAAUGUUUAGGAAUCUGCCUAUUAGUGGGGGACAACUUCUUGAAAGGGAUGCUUAUACCGCAUACUAAUCGAUGAGCCUAAGUCGGUUUAGGCAGUUGGUGGGGGAAAGGCCUACCAAGGCGACGUUCUGUAGCGGGUCUGCGUGGAUGAACCGCCACACUUGGACUGAGGCACGGCCCAGACUCCUACGGGAGGCAGCAGUGGGGAAUAUUGGACAAUGGGGGGAACCCUGAUCCAGCCAUGCCGCGUGUGAGAAGAAGGCCUUAUGGUUGUAAAGCUCUGUAAGCGAGGGGGCGUUACUCGCAGAGUAAGCACCGGCUAACUCUGUGCCAGCAGCCGCGGUAAUAC